rnacentral:rRNA from 1 species
CUGUAUCGAUUCGUCGAUGCUUUCAACGCGACCCCAGGUCAGGCGGGGUUACCCGCUGA